rnacentral:rRNA from 1 species
GAAAGCUGGUACCUUCGGUAUCCGCGUUGUAACCUCGAGACACGUUUUCCGUGCGGCGCUAUGGACAAGUUCCUUGGAACAGGACAUCGUAGAGGGUGAAAAUCCCGUACUUGCCAUGGAUGUACCGUGCUUUGCGAUACGUGCUCUAAGAGUCGAGUUGUUUGGGAUUGCAGCUCAAAAUGGGUGGUAGACUCCAUCUAAAGCUAAAUAUCGGGGAGAGACCGAUAGCGAACAAGUACCGUGAGGGAAAGAUGAAAAGCACUUUGGAAAGAGAGUUAAAAGUACGUGAAAUUGUCGAAAGGGAAGCGCUUGAAGUCAGCCAUGCCGCUCAGGACUCAGCCUGGCUUUUGCUUGGUGUAUUUCCUGGUAGCAAGUCAGCAUUGGUUUGGAUCGUCGGAGAAGCAUAGUUGGAAUGUGGCGCCCUCGGGCGUGUUAUAGCCUUCUAUUGGAUACGACGAUCUGGACCAAGGAACGCAGCGCGCCU